CCUUGUAACGAACUAGACCUUCAACCACAGUGACGUCACUGCAUAAAGCCUCAUUUAUUGUAUAGAACUCUCCGAUCAAGUGCAUCCUAGACUCCGAAGCUGUUUUGACAUUUCACACACUAUUUCUAUUUUCUAUCCAUAAGAAGGCCACAGAGAUUUUGUCGUUAAGUUUUGUUAGAUAGCAUGAAGAAGCAUCAUCAAAAUCCUACUCCACCGACGUCACUUCGCGGUAACAGCUGUAGCUUCAUUCCAUUCGUCCUCUAUGUAUUCAAAUGAGUAUGAUUAUAUGCUUUUGCAGGUCCCUCUCUGAAGUAGGCAGCAGUUACAGGGUAUUAUCGUUACUGUUAUGAAGGGUUAAAGAAUGCAAAGAUCAAUUAACAACAAUAUUUUGCUGAUUUAUUGUUAUCUCCUGCCAAGCCUACCAUCCUGUUUGAGCCCCUCCCCCAAAUGAGUCAACCAGUCAUAACUGAUUUUUGGCUGGGAAGGAAAUUUAUGUCGUUGAGAGUGUGUCAGAGUACAGAUAAAUGAUGGCAGGCAGGCCAAUGUAAGGAACUUAACUUUUCCGGAUUCAAUAAGACCGGCAACGGCCGUGACGGAUGUACUAAUUCUCAACGAUGUGCGCGCGUAGAACUUUCCAAGGCUGUUUCUGAUUACGCAAUUCUGUAUCAGCCGGUUGACCGGGCCUGUAUCGUUAUCUGUAUGGUAUAAGAAGCGAAUGUGGUGCUGUUGUGCCUGUAGAUUUCUCGAGACGAGGAGCGUACAAUGAAGAAGUACUGUCUGCUGAGGUCAGUGCUGCUGUUGCUGACGCUUAUGGUGGCCAUUUUCUCGGCCUCUGCCACGCAAGAGUCGGUGACGACGCCCAAGUCAAGGCGGAGGAUGAUUGACCCGAUUCUCAGGUGUCCGGGUGGCACUGUCCUAGUCGGUGGCUCCUGUCGAAGAGCACUAAAGAUUAACAGGUGAUAAGACGUCAACAGUGAAGAAAAACAUCAUGUGAAGAUCUAUUACAAUAUUCAGAGAAGACAACCUCAGACAUUAAACAAUUCCAUACCUCUGGUUACUAAUAAAUGGAAGAAGACUGUUGUAAACGAGGAAUUUCGAAGAAGAUCUGGAGACGAUGUCAUCACUUAACCCAUCCUGUGAAAUCUUGAUCACAAAGUUUAGGAGAGACUGUUUGAUAUCUGCUUCCUAAGUCAUGCUUAGGAGAAUGAAAAACGCUGAUUCUAAUGUUAACAGCACUAGUAUAAAUGGAAAUUACAUUCUAUUGUCGUUAAAACUUACCCCAAGUAUAAAAUAAAUAAGCGCAAAUAAAAUAAGAUACCUGUUUUAUGAGUUAUAA